GAUGAACGCUGGCGGCGUGCCUAAUACAUGCCAGUCGAGCGAACAGACGAGGAGCUUGCUCCUCUGACGUUAGCGGCGGACGGGUGAGUAACACGUGGAUAACCUACCUAUAAGACUGGGAUAACUUCGGGAAACCGGAGCUAAUACCGGAUAAUAUAUUGAACCGCAUGGUUCAAUAGUGAAAGACGGUUUUGCUGUCACUUAUAGAUGGAUCCGCGCCGCAUUAGCUAGUUGGUAAGGUAACGGCUUACCAAGGCAACCAUGCGUAGCCGACCUGAGAGGGUGAUAGCCCACACUGGAACUGAGACACGGUCCAGACUCCUACGGGAGGCAGCAGUAGGGAAUCUUCCGCAAUGGGCGAAAGCCUGACGGAGCAACGCCGCGUGAGUGAUGAAGGUCUUCGGAUCGUAAAACUCUGUUAUUAGGGAAGAACAAAUGUGUAAGUAACUAUGCACGUCUUGACGGUACCUAAUCAGAAAGCCACGGCUAACUACGUG
rnacentral:rRNA from 1 species